rnacentral:rRNA from 1 species
UAAUACGUAGGGUGCAAGCGUUAUCCGGAUUUAUUGGGCGUAAAGGGCGCGCAGGCGGCCACCAGCAGUGGCCCGUGGAAUCUCUCCGCUUAACGGGGAGAGGCCGGGCCAAACGGGGUGGCUUGGGGCAGGCAGAGGCAUGCGGAACGGGCGGAGUAGGGGUGAAAUCCGUAGAGACCGUCCGGAACACCAGUGGCGAAGGCGGCAUGCUGGGCCUGAAGCCGUAAGGCUGAACCCGACGCUCAGGCGCGAAAGCGUGGGGAGCGAACGGAAUUAGAUACUCCGGUAGUCCACGCCCUAAACGAUGGCAACUCGGUGUCGGGGGUAUCGACCCCUCCGGCGCCUAAGUCAACACGGUAAGUUGCCCGCCUGGGGACUACGGCCGCAAGGCUA